UAGUUCGCCGGCAGCAGAUCAAUUUAAAAAGAAAACAGAUGAAAUCAGCACGCUGAACAAUGAACUAGAAAAAUCUAAAAGGGAAAAUGAUGAGCUCAAAAGCGAGAAAAAGCAAAUACAGCGGUCAAUCACUGAAGAACAAAAAACAAAACAAACUGAAAUAGAUAAACUGAAUGCUGAGCUGAAGAUCCUGCAAGAUAAACUUGAAAAGUCCGGGAAAAGUCAAAAAGGGACCGAUGAUCACUUAAACAAAUC